rnacentral:SRP_RNA from 1 species
GCCGGGUGUGGUGGCGCACACCUGUAAUCCCAGCUACUUGGGAGGCUGAGGCAGAAGAAUCACUUGAACCCGGGAGGCGGAGGUUGCAGUGAGCUAAGAUCGUGCCAUUGCACUUCAGCCUGGGUGACAGAGCGAGACUCUGUCUAAA